GAUUAAGUUAUUAAGGGCGCACGGUGGAUGCCUUGGCACUAGAAGCCGAUGAAGGACGUUACUAACGACGAUAUGCUUUGGGGAGCUGUAAGUAAGCGUUGAUCCAGAGAUUUCCGAAUGGGGAAACCCAGCAUGAGUUAUGUCAUGUUAUCGAUAUGUGAAUACAUAGCAUAUCAGAAGGCAGACCCGGAGAACUGAAACAUCUUAGUACCCGGAGGAAGAGAAAGAAAAAUCGAUUCCCUGAGUAGCGGCGAGCGAAACGGGAAGAGCCCAAACCAACAAGCUUGCUUGUUGGGGUUGUAGGACACUCUAUACGGAGUUACAAAAGUAUAUAUUAGACGAAUCAUCUGGAAAGUUGAAUCAAAGAAGGUAAUAAUCCUGUAGUCGAAAAUAUAUACUCUCUUGAGUGGAUCCUGAGUACGACGGAGCACGUGAAAUUCCGUCGGAAUCUGGGAGGACCAUCUCCUAAGGCUAAAUACUCUCUAGUGACCGAUAGUGAACCAGUACCGUGAGGGAAAGGUGAAAAGUACCCCGGAAGGGGAGUGAAAGAGAACUUGAAACCGUGUGCUUACAAGUAGUCAGAGCCCGUUAAUGGGUGAUGGCGUGCCUUUUGUAGAAUGAACCGGCGAGUUACGAUUUGAUGCAAGGUUAAGCAGCUAAUGUGGAGCCGUAGCGAAAGCGAGUCUGAAUAGGGCGUUUAGUAUUUGGUCGUAGACCCGAAACCAGGUGAUCUACCCUUGGUCAGGUUGAAGUUCAGGUAACACUGAAUGGAGGACCGAACCGACUUACGUUGAAAAGUGAGCGGAUGAACUGAGGGUAGCGGAGAAAUUCCAAUCGAACUUGGAGAUAGCUGGUUCUCUCCGAAAUAGCUUUAGGGCUAGCCUCAAGUGAUGAUUAUUGGAGGUAGAGCACUGUUUGGACGAGGGGCCCUUCUCGGGUUACCGAAUUCAGACAAACUCCGAAUGCCAAU
rnacentral:rRNA from 1 species